rnacentral:lncRNA from 1 species
AUGCUAAAAAUAACUAUUCCUACAAUUAUACUACUACCAAUAACAUGACUCUCUAAAAAUUAUACAAUUUGAAUCAAUAUGGCUACCCACAGCCUAAUCACCAGCUUCAUUGCCCUAUUAUUCUUUAACUAAUUCAACGACAAUCUAUUCAACUUCUCAUUAACUUUCUCCUCUGAUCCGCUAACAUCACCCCUUCUAAUCUUAACAGCCUGACUACUACCUCUUAUAACUAUAGCAAGCCAGUACCACCUCUCCAGUGAAUCACCCCUAUGGAAAAAACCCUGUAUUUCCAUAUUAAUUUCCCUACAAAUUUUUCUAAUCAUAGCAUUUACAGCCACAGAACUAAUUAUAUUUUAUAUUCUCUUUGAAGCUACACUUAUCCCUAUCUUAAUUAUUAUCACCCGAUGGGGUAACCAACCAGAACGCCUCAAUGCAGGUACAUAUCUCUUAUUUUACACACUAGUGGGAUCCCUCCCCCUACUUAUUACACUUAUUUAUGCCCAAAAUAUCCUAGGCUCACUGAGCAUGAUAAUAAUAACAUUUAAUAUCAAGAACUACCAAUCUCCUGAUCCAACAAUCUCAUGUGAUUGGCAUGUAUAAUGGCCUUCAUAGUAAAAAUACCCCUAUACUGACUUCACCUAUGACUUCCCAAAGCCCAUGUAUAAGCACCUAAGGCUGGCUCAAUAGUACUUGCAGCAGUGCUCCUAAAAUUGGGCGGCUACACAAAAUGCGACUUACCCUCAUCCUCAGCCCUCUGACAGAACAUAUAGCCUAUCCUUUCCUGAUAUUAUCCUUAUGAGGCAUAUUAUGACAAGCUCCAUCUGUCUACGACAAACUGAUCUAAAGUCACUUAUUGCACAUUCCUCCGUAAGCCACAUGGUACUUGUUACUGUGGCUAUCCUCAUUCAAACCCCCUGAAGUUUUACCAGUGCAAUUAUCCUCAUAAUUCCCCAUGGACUUACUUCGUCCCUACUAUUCUGCCUAGCAAAUUCAAACUACAAGUGAAUCCACAGCUGAAUCAUAUUACUCUCUCGAGGACGUCAAACAUUACUUCCACUAGUAACCUUUUGAUGACUUACAGCAAAUCUCACCAACCUUGCCCUACCCCCCACUAUUAAUCUAGUAGGAGAACUCCUUGUAACAACGGCUUCAUUCUCCUGAUCAAACACUACCAUCAUGCUUAUAGGACUUAAUAUAUUAAUCACAGCCCUUUAUUCCCUCUAUAUACUUGUCACAACACAACAAGGAACACUAACAUACUAUAUUAACAGCAUUAAACCUUCCUUUACACGAGAAAACAUACUAAUACUCAUACACCUUUCACCAAUUCUCUUACUAUCUCUAAAUCCUAAAAUUAUUAUAG